AUUGAACGCUGGCGGCAGGCUUAACACAUGCAAGUCGAGCGGGGGAAGGUAGCUUGCUACCGGACCUAGCGGCGGACGGGUGAGUAAUGCUUAGGAAUCUGCCUAUUAGUGGGGGACAACAUCUCGAAAGGGAUGCUAAUACCGCAUACGUCCUACGGGAGAAAGCAGGGGAUCUUCGGACCUUGCGCUAAUAGAUGAGCCUAAGUCAGCUUAGCUAGUUGGUGGGGUAAAGGCCUACCAAGGCGACGAUCUGUAGCGGGUCUGAGAGGAUGAUCCGCCACACGGGGACUGAGACACGGCCCAGACUCCUACGGGAGGCAGCAGUGGGGAAUAGUGGACAAUGGGGGGAACCCUGAUCCAGCCAUGCCGCGUGUGUGAAGAAGGCCUUAUGGUUGUAAAGCACUUUAAGCGAGGAGGAGGCUACUUUAGUUAAUACCUAGAGAUAGUGGACGUUACUCGUAGAAUAAGCACCGGCUAACUCUGUGCCAGCCGCCGCGGUAA
rnacentral:rRNA from 1 species